rnacentral:lncRNA from 1 species
AAAGCCAGCAUUUCCUGCCAGGGGUCUUUCUGUUUUCUCUCUCAAACAGGAAGUUGGCCUGGGAAAGGCUGAAAGUGCUGCCCUUUGACCCCCAGGAGCUAGGCGCCAGGCCCUCCCUGACAGCAACCCUGAGAGCCACUUCCCCAGGACUUGCCAUUCCCAGACACAGAGCAGACCCUGUCCUGGCUCCCCCCAGACUCCCUGGCACCUCUGGAUGACCACCCGGAGCAUAUGUACUGAGCUACAGCGUGUGUCACACAUGUGGCCUCGUCCUCAUCAAUCGUUCCCCAUAUAGGGGCCACCGUCACUGUCCUAUUUUAUGCUCCAUCCAGAGGCUCAGAAGAGACAGCCCUAGAUGGGUCUUCUGCUGGUCAGCAAAGGUCCCCACCUGGAGGAAGCACUCAGCCCAGGUACUGGAUGCCACAGCAGCCAGGCAGCAGUGCCAGGGGCUCUCCUGGGCCUGGAGUACCCAGACAAGCUGCAGAACCAGCAGGACGAGACACUGCCCCACCUGCCUGCUCCCUCCUCUCCCUGCAGCUGAGGUAGGGAAUCUGUCCUUGCUCUGCACCCAAGGCCCUUUCACUCGGCCUGACUCCCCAGGGCACCCCACCCAUGCACACCAUGCCCAGGAGUAAGCCAUCCAUACUCUAAUCCCACCCCACCCCUCCACACUCACACACCCCCUCCCCAGCUUCAGACCCAGCCUGCUUCUCCAUUGGUUGUGUGUCUUUUGUAAAUUCCCCGGCCCUCUCCGGGCUUUAGUUUCCCCUCUGUAAAAUGGGCGCUACAGCAAAUGGGUUGACCAAACCUACAUCCAAUAACUUACCUCACAUUAAGAUACCUCACAUUAAAAUAAAAG